rnacentral:rRNA from 1 species
CACGUAGGGCGCGAGCGUUGUCCGGAAUUAUUGGGCGUAAAGAGCUCGUAGGCGGUUUGUCGCGUCUGCUGUGAAAGCCCGGGGCUCAACCCCGGGUCUGCAGUGGGUACGGGCAGACUAGAGUGCAGUAGGGGAGACUGGAAUUCCUGGUGUAGCGGUGAAAUGCGCAGAUAUCAGGAGGAACACCGAUGGCGAAGGCAGGUCUCUGGGCUGUAACUGACGCUGAGGAGCGAAAGCAUGGGGAGCGAACAGG